GCCUCGGUGGCGGAAUUGGUAGACGCGCACGACUCAAACUCGUGUUCCAUUGGAGUGUGGGUUCGAUUCCCACCCGAGGUA
rnacentral:tRNA from 1 species